rnacentral:rRNA from 1 species
UACCCGCUUGAAACUUAAGCAUAUCAAUAAGCGGAGGAAAAGAAACCAACAGGGAUUGCCCUAGUAACGGCGAGUGAAGCGGCAACAGCUCAAAUUUGAAAUCUGGCUCUUUCAGAGUCCGAGUUGUAAUUUGCAGAGGGCGCUUUGGCGUCGGCAGCGGUCCAAGUUCUUUGGAACAGGACGUCACAGAGGGUGAGAAUCCCGUACGUGGUCGCUAGCCUUCGCCGUGUAAAGCCCCUUCGACGAGUCGAGUUGUUUGGGAAUGCAGCUCUAAAUGGGAGGUAAAUUUCUUCUAAAGCUAAAUACUGGCCAGAGACCGAUAGCGCACAAGUAGAGUGAUCGAAAGAUGAAAAGCACUUUGGAAAGAGAGUCAAAUAGCACGUGAAAUUGUUGAAAGGGAAGCGCUUGCAGCCAGACUUACCUGUAGUUGCUUAUCUGGACUUUUGUCCAGUGCACUCUUCUACGGGUAGGCCAGCAUCAGUUUGGGCGGUUGGAUAAAGGUCUCUGUCACGUACCUCCCUUCGGGGUGGCCUUAUAGGGGAGACGUCAUGCAACCAGCCUGGACUGAGGUCCGCGCAUCUGCUAGGAUGCUGGCGUAAUGGCUGUAAGCGGCCCGUCUUGAAACACGGACCAAGGAGUCUAACAUCUAUGCGAGUGUUUGGGUGUCAAGCCCAGACGCGUAAUGAAAGUGAACGGAGGUGGGAACCCUUUGGGUGCACCAUCGACCGAUCCUGAUGUCUUCGGAUGGAUUUGAGUAAGAGCAUGGCUGUUGGGACCCGAAAGAUGGUGAACUAUGCUUGAAUAGGGUGAAGCCAGAGGAAACUCUGGUGGAGGCUCGCAGCGGUUCUGACGUGCAAAUCGAUCGUCAAAUUUGGGCAUAGGGGCGAAAGACUAAUCGAACUAUCUAGUAGCUGGUUCCUGCCGAAGUUUCCCCCUCAAGGAA